rnacentral:rRNA from 1 species
AUUGAACGCUGGCGGCAGGCCUAACACAUGCAAGUCGAGCGGUAGAGAGAAGCUUGCUUCUCUUGAGAGCGGCGGACGGGUGAGUAAUGCCUAGGAAUCUGCCUAGUGGUGGGGGAUAACGUUCGGAAACGGACGCUAAUACCGCAUACGUCCUACGGGAGAAAGCGGGGGAUCUUCGGACCUCGCGCCAUUAGAUGAGCCUAGGUCGGAUUAGCUAGUUGGUAGGGUAAAGGCCUACCAAGGCGACGAUCGGUAGCUGGUCUGAGAGGAUGAUCAGCCACACUGGAACUGAGACACGGUCCAGACUCCUACGGGAGGCAGCAGUGGGGAAUAUUGGACAAUGGGCGCAAGCCUGAUCCAGCAAUUCCGCGUGGGUGAAGAAGGUCUUCGGAUUGUAAAGCCCUUUCGUUGGGACGAUGAUGACGGUACCCAAAGAAGAAGCCCCGGCUAACUUCGUG